AACUAACUUAAGGCCAGCAUGGCGUUGCUAUGCUACAACAAAGGCUGUCGAGAGAAGUUUGAUACAGACAAGAACAAGCAUGGUAUCAGAGACAGCAUCCCGAGUGGACUUUCCUAUCGUAGGGCUGCACCCAAAGGCGCCAUAGCAACGAGAAGCCCCAGGAGCCUUCGCAGCCGACAGUGACGUCAGACAAGAACGGCGUGAAACACAACAGAGAGGAGAUAAUUUACCAGGAGCCCAAAUCAGCUGAGGCACCGCAGAAGAAGAGACCCAGUUCAGAUGAAGAUGAGACUAAGCUUCUACAGAAGAUGGCCAUACAGCAACAAGGCAGAACGAAAGCGGAAAGCUAAGCAUGUGUCCAUCCCAUAGCUUCUUCCGUUUCCUGUUACUUCUUCUGGAUCAAAUCGUUGCAGGGUGUUUCUAUGUAAAGGCAGUUUGUUUCAAUGCCUCUGUUGACUAAUACCACUUCUGUGUUGAAAUAUAACAUUACAGUGAUUUGGAAAUUCCUUUUUUUUUUUUGCUGAGUAAGAUUUCAGCAGGACAUUUAACCCCCCCCCACACACACACACACACUCUCUCUCUCUCUCUCUCUCUCACAGAGAGUGAAGUUGUGUUGCAAGAACACAGGAUGCAAAACAGUGGGUGUCUCCUUUGUGUGUGUCUCUCUUUCUCUCUCUCUGUGUGUGUGUGUGUGUGACUUGUGUGUUACAGAGAAGCAAGUGAAAAACGUGAGGUGCAGUGACUCCUGUCUUUGUAGAUGAUGAAUCUGUAGCAUUCUGUUGAUGCAGGAUAACAGCCUAUUUUAGGCUCCUGCUCUCUCUUAGUGUUAACUCUCCGGUAAUUCAACAGUUUUUACCAGAGCCAUAUAUUUUAGAGUUUGAUCAACUUUAAGAAUUUUGAAUAUUGUUCUAAUUCUAGAAAUUCAGUUACAUAGCAUCGUUUAAAUAUUCCUGUGUAAUGUUAAUGGGGCGCUAACAUGGCUGCCAUAGAAUGUUGUAGUGUCAUGUUAAUUAAAGCAUCAUAAUGCAGAAACCUCAAUGUCCCAACUCUCUAAAUACAUGACUCUGGUUUGGACCAGACAUACUGUACAUUCCAAAGUCCAAACACAGUACACAUCCAUGACCAAGACACACUGCCAAAGCAAAAGGAAAUAUUCACAUUUAAAUUCUUAUUGAAAAGACAUACACUCUAAUCUCAAAGUAUCCAUAACAAACACACACACUGCCCCAGUACAGGAAAUAAGGGGAUUUGAAUUCUUCUGGAGAAGUUAAAAGAAGUGCUAAAUUAAUAAAGCUACCUGAUUGAUUAAAGGGGCUCUCAUAGUGUUGUCGCCAUCUAGUGGCCAAAGUUGGUAACAUUAUUCCCCGUCCCAGGCUGAGCCCACACAAUAUUACAUCCAUGCUACAUUCACUGCUUGUUAAUGACCAGAACGAGAAAGGUCACUGGUGCAAAUAUCAGCGGGACGCUACUGUUGUACUAAUGCUCUUUAGAAAGACACUUAACCUUGGUUGCGUCCCAGAUUAUAUCAUAUUCCCUGUAGGGCUCUGGUCAAAAGUAGUGCACUAUGUAGGGAAUAGGGUGCCAUUUGGGACGUACCCCUUGAGUUGUACUAUACCCAGUGUAGAUUAAAAUAUCAUGACGUGUCACAAAAUUCCAACGUUCCGUAUUGGAGUGGCCGAUGCUUGUUUGUUAUUGUUGUUACCAAGGUAACUGAGACCAGCGGGGAGAGCUGUACACAUCACCCUGGAGCGCCGGUCUUCCACGAGGGGCAAGGCAACAACACAAUAAAGUUGUUGACUUUUACACACCUGUAUUAUACAGUACUGCAAUAUUCUGCCGCAGGUACAGUAUUAUACAGUACUAUUACAUACUCCUCUACAAGUAUAUGUACUGGAGCUGUUGCUCUGUAAUGACCAUAGACUUUAAUGGACCAGGAGGGCUGUACCAUGGGCAAACAUCGCUGGGUCCAAAAACUGUUCAGUGUCAGCUUCCUGAAAUACCGUUAACCCAUUAUUAGCCUUUAUAACCCUUUAUGGCCGACAGAUAUGGCAGCUCUGCUUCUAGCUCCUAAGCAACUCUGCAGUAUUUUUUUUCUUUUUUUCUUACA